GCGCUUGACGGCGCUGGCUAUGCCGUGCGGCGCCGGUAGCUAUGGCGUGCGCAGUGGUGGCGGCGGACCGCGGAGGAGCGAGCGCAGUGGUGUGCGCGGGUCCGGUGGCGAUGGUGGCGGCGGGCGUGGCGGCGAGCGCGGCUGGAGGUUGGGGAUAACCCCGAUAUGUGGGGCCCACCUGCCAGCGUGAGGGAGAGAAGGGGAGAGGGCACGGGCUGUGCUGGGCUGCUGGACCGCG
rnacentral:lncRNA from 1 species